UACGGAGGGUGCGAGCGUUGUCCGGAAUCAUUGGGCGUAAAGGGCGCGUAGGUGGCGGGAUAAGCGUGCGGUGAAAGCCUGGGGCUCAACCCCGGGUCGGCCGUGCGAACUGUUUUGCUUGAGCACUGUAGAGGCAGGCGGAAUUCCGGGUGUAGCGGUGGAAUGCGUAGAGAUCCGGAAGAACACCGGUGGCGAAGGCGGCCUGCUGGGCAGUAGCUGACACUGAGGCGCGACAGCGUGGGGAGCAAACAGG
rnacentral:rRNA from 1 species